rnacentral:rRNA from 1 species
AUUGAACGCUGGCGGCAGGCUUAACACAUGCAAGUCGAGCGAGCGGCGGACGGGUGAGUAAUGUCUGGGAAACUGCCUGAUGGAGGGGGAUAACUACUGGAAACGGUAGCUAAUACCGCAUACCAUCAGAUGUGCCCAGAUGGGAUUAGCUAUUUGGUGAGGUAAUGGCUUACAAAGGCGACGCUCCCUAGCUGGUCUGAGAGGAUGAUCAGCCACACGGGGACUGAGACACGGCCCAGACUCCUACGGGAGGCAGCAGUGGGGAAUAUUGCACAAUGGGCGCAAGCCUGAUGGAGCCAUGCCGCGUGUGUGAAGAAGGCCCUAGGAUUGUAAAGUGCUUUCAGUCGGGAGGCGUUAUCGACAGAAGAAGCACCGGCUAACUACGUGCCAGCAGCCGCGGUAAUAG